GAUGAACGCUGGCGGCGUGCCUAAUACAUGCAAGUCGAGCGAACGGACGAGAAGCUUGCUUUUCUGAUGUUAGCGGCGGACGGGUGAGUAACACGUGGAUAACCUACCUAUAAGACUGGGAUAACUUCGGGAAACCGGAGCUAAUACCGGAUAAUAUUUUGAACCGCAUGGUUCAUAAGUGAAAGACGGUCUUGCUGUCACUUAUAGAUGGAUCCGCGCUGCAUUAGCUAGUUGGUAAGGUAACGGCUUACCAAGGCAACGAUGCAUAGCCGACCUGAGAGGGUGAUCGGCCACACUGGAACUGAGACACGGUCCAGACUCCUACGGGAGGCAGCAGUAGGGAAUCUUCCGCAAUGGGCGAAAGCCUGACGGAGCAACGUCGCGUGAGUGAUGAAGGUCUUCGGAUCGUAAAACUCUGUUAUUAGGGAAGAACAUAUGUGUAAGUAACUGUGCACAUCUUGACGGUACCUAAUCAGAAAGCCACGGCUAACUACGUG
rnacentral:rRNA from 1 species